AAAUCUCCAACAUACUUCAGAGCCCUGGAACGCCACUGCUUGGAGCUGUUGCCCUUCUUCGCCACUAGUUAUAGAUGUGGACAACAAACCUUAGUAGUAUUGGCUGCAGCUGAGACUCCGUUGUCAAUGGAAGAUCUGGUCAUUUAAGAAGACUCCUUCAGAGAGCUGCUCAGAUGCCAGCACACUUGAGAAUGGAGAAUCUGGAAUUAUGUUAACAUACUGGAACCUUCCAUGGAGACUGCGAUGGUGAAAGAGCAAUUUGAAUAGUAGAGUUUCAAAGCUGUCAAAGAAAUUGAUGAUGUGUCCCUGCUUGCCAGGAAGGGACUUGUACAACACCUUUGAACUGAACAGAAGAGGCCAAUAAAAAUGGAACUUCUGGGGGGACUCCAUGAAAUCUAUAACUGAAGUGGCCCCAUUCUUCUCUUCCUGUCAAGCUAGCCAUUCUGACA